CAGGCUUAACACAUGCAAGUCGAGCGGAAACGAUGGGAGCUUGCUCCCAGGCGUCGAGCGGCGGACGGGUGAGUAACACUUAGGAAUCUACCUAGUAGUGGGGGAUAGCUCGGGGAAACUCGAAUUAAUACCGCAUACGACCUACGGGAGAAAGGGGGCAGUUUACUGCUCUCGCUAUUAGAUGAGCCUAAGUCGGAUUAGCUAGAUGGUGGGGUAAAGGCCUACCAUGGCGACGAUCUGUAGCUGGUCUGAGAGGAUGAUCAGCCACACCGGGACUGAGACACGGCCCGGACUCCUACGGGAGGCAGCAGUGGGGAAUAUUGGACAAUGGGGGCAACCCUGAUCCAGCCAUGCCGCGUGUGUGAAGAAGGCCUUUUGGUUGUAAAGCACUUUAAGCAGUGAAGAAGACCUAACGGUUAAUACCCGUUAGCGAUGACAUUAGCUGCAGAAUAAGCACCGGCUAACUCUGUGCCAGCAGCCGCGGUAAUACAGAGGGUGCAAGCGUUAAUCGGAAUUACUGGGCGUAAAGCGAGCGUAGGUGGCUUGAUAAGUCAGAUGUGAAAUCCCCGGGCUUAACCUGGGAACUGCAUCUGAUACUGUUAAGCUAGAGUAGGUGAGAGGGAAGUAGAAUUCCAGGUGUAGCGGUGAAAUGCGUAGAGAUCUGGAGGAAUACCGAUGGCGAAGGCAGCUUCCUGGCAUCAUACUGACACUGAGGCUCGAAAGCGUGG
rnacentral:rRNA from 1 species